AUGAACAUCAUUGUAGUUCCAUGAAUUCCGCUAAUAGUUUCUAUAUCACACCGCAUCUGUUUGUCAAAAUUAAUCAAAUGAUAACAUUGGCAAUCCGGUCAAUAUAUAUGUUUGACAAAAUCUUUCUGAUUGAAUGACAGUGAAGUUUAUACGAAGGGCCCUCGGUUGAAUAAAUUAGUCUAGACUCCAGAGAUUUUAGAAAGAAUGUUAUACUUUGUGAAGGAUGAAUGACUUUUGACAAAUUGCCAACGGAAACAUUGUCAUGUCUGCAUGCGCGAAUCAAGUGCAUUGUAUUAGGCGAGGUAUUUUUUUCAACAGUACAAAUGUGUAUUGUUGCCUGCAGUAGCACCUUGUACCUAGCUCAUGUAACUACACAAACUACAUUUUGUCAAAAGCGUUCAAAAGGACGAGUCUCACUUACCUAAGGUUACGUUUCUGCUUUAAGACGGACAACACCAACAUAUUUCAACCCGAUUUUGGAAAUUCAUAAAUCACACACAUUUUAACAAGAUUAUUGUAACAUGCAUUAGCGAUGCAGGAUUAAAUGAUUCAUGACACCAAGGACCAUGUGUAAACUUGGCUAUAUAGUUUCAAACCAGAUAAUCCUCGAUAAUAUGUCUGUUGUAUGUAAAUCCUAAAGGAUAUAUUUCUGUUUCAAAAAACCUACAGCCUAUACAGUGCCAACAAUAACGAUGAAAUGUUUAAAAUAAUUGUCACGCUAUGUUAAAUCUUCUAUUAAAGGCUAGAAAAUUAAAAUAUACUUGUGUGUUGACUGCCUUUGGGCAAAUGUUUUACCAGACUAUUUGAAGUAACAAUACAUACUCUGCAUGCUUGCAGGGUAAAGACUAAAGUAACAACUGAUCGUGACUAAAACACCACACGAGUACAUACGAGUAACAUACGAGUAACACACAGGUACAUACGAGUAACACACGAGUACAUACGAGUAACAUACGAGUAACAUACGAGUACAUACGAGUAACACACGAGUACAUACGAGUAAAACACAAG